UACGUAGGGGGCAAGCGUUGUCCGGAUUUAUUGGGCGUAAAGAGCGUGUAGGCGGCCAUACAGGUCAGCUGUGAAAACUCGAGGCUCAACCUCGAGACGUCGGUUGAAACCGUAUGGCUAGAGUCCGGAAGAGGAGAGUGGAAUUCCCGGUGUAGCGGUGAAAUGCGCGGAUAUCGGGAAGAACACCCAUGGCGAAGGCAGCUCUCUGGGACGGUACUGACGCUGAGGCACGAAAGCGUGGGGAGCAAACAGG
rnacentral:rRNA from 1 species